UACAGAGGGUGCGAGCGUUAAUCGGAAUUACUGGGCGUAAAGCGUGCGUAGACGGUUAUUUAAGUCGGGUGUGAAAGCCCCGGGCUCAACCUGGGAAUUGCAUUCGAGACUGAAUAGCUAGGGUACGGUAGAGGGAAGUGGAAUUUCCGGUGUAGCGGUGAAAUGUGUAGAGAUCGGGAGGAACACCGGUGGCGAAGGCGGGUCUCUGGGCAAUUCCUGACGCUGAGGCGCGAAAGCGUGGGGAGCAAACGGG
rnacentral:rRNA from 1 species